CCUACGGGAGGCAGCAGUAGGGAAUCUUCCACAAUGGACGAAAGUCUGAUGGAGCAACGCCGCGUGAGUGAAGAAGGGUUUCGGCUCGUAAAGCUCUGUUGGUAGUGAAGAAAGAUAGAGGUAGUAACUGGCCUUUAUUUGACGGUAAUUACUUAGAAAGUCACGGCUAACUACGUGCCAGCAGCCGCGGUAAUACGUAGGUGGCAAGCGUUGUCCGGAUUUAUUGGGCGUAAAGCGAGUGCAGGCGGUUCAAUAAGUCUGAUGUGAAAGCCUUCGGCUCAACCGGAGAAUUGCAUCAGAAACUGUUGAACUAGAUUGCAGGAGAGGUAAGUGGAAUUCCUAGUGUAGCGGUGAAAUGCGUAGAUAUUAGGAGGAACACCAGUGGCGAAGGCGGCUUACUGGACUGUAAAUGACGCUGAGGCUCGAAAGCGUGGGGAGCAAACAGGAUUAGAUACCCUAGUAGUC
rnacentral:rRNA from 1 species